rnacentral:rRNA from 1 species
GACGAACGCUGCCGGCGUGCUUAACACAUGCAAGUCGAACGGAAAGGCCCUGCUUUUGUGGGUUGCUCGAGUGGCGAACGGGUGAGUAACACGUGAGUAACCUGCCCUGGACUUUGGGAUAACUUCAGGAAACUGGGGCUAAUACCGGAUAGGAGCUCCUGCUGCAUGGUGGGGGUUGGAAAGUUUCGGCGGUUGGGGAUGGACUCGCGGCUUAUCAGCUUGUUGGUGGGGUAGUGGCUUACCAAGGCUUUGACGGGUAGCCGGCCUGAGAGGGUGACCGGCCACAUUGGGACUGAGAUACGGCCCAGACUCCUACGGGAGGCAGCAGUGGGGAAUAUUGCACAAUGGGCGGAAGCCUGAUGCAGCAACGCCGCGUGCGGGAUGACGGCCUUCGGGUUGUAAACCGCUUUCGCCUGUGACGAAGCGUGAGUGACGGUAAUGGGUAAAGAAGCACCGGCUAACUACGUG